CACCUCCUCUCCUUCUAUUAUUUGAGUUCCUCACCCAGUUUUGCUGGGAUAUAUCCCCUGCUUCCAACAUCCUCCACUGAUAACCUUCAUCCCGUCUAGCACCUUUUUGUCGGUUGAACUCCCCCUUGCCGUCUCGUCCAGUCUGUACCUUUCACGCUUCCAUGGAUCUGGCGGCGAACGUGCGGUCCGCCCUCGUCCUCCUUGCUCUCCUGCAUGUUCUUCUGGCUCCGCCGGGCUGUCGAGACUUCGCCGCUUGGGCCGAACACGUGACCGAUGAGAAAGUGUAGUCAGCAUCGGCGUGGACGGGGCCAGGAGCCGCCGCCCGGGCCCGGCCCCCGUGGUUCCGGCCUUCCAAAUUGCUGUCCCCGAACCCGGACAACAUACAAGAGUUGGUAUAGAUCCUCCCCUGCUGGAACCACCACCUCCGCCAGGGCAUUUUCCGUAAGAAAAGGCAUUCAAAACGAAGAGGAAAAUUACUGCUCAAAAAAGAAACGAUAAACCGAAUACACGCCGAAUAUUAUAUUGUUGAAUGUAUAAAUCUUGGGAGUAUGUAGAAGAUCUUGGAGAUGUGGAGAAUAAUCCAAGCUCUCUAGUGACCAUAUUUUGUAUUAAGGGCAUGAUUGUCGUUUGUCCUCACCUGUUUUCCCUAUCCCCGUGAUAGAAGGAGGUGGGAAGCCUCUGCCUUUAACAAGUAUUAUGUGUUUAACGAGCACUGAUGGCUGUAUGUUGUGUUAUUAGACGAUUUCCAUCAAGAAAGAAGAACGAAAAUCUUUUGUGUCCA
rnacentral:lncRNA from 1 species